AGAGUUUGAUCAUGGCUCAGGACGAACGCUGGCGGCGCGCUUAACACAUGCAAGUCGUGCGGUACCGAUGGCAAGUCUUCAUGACGAGCCUUCGGUAUAGCGGCGGACGGGUGAGUAACACGUGAGUAGCUGUCCUAGGGAGGGGGAUAACGCCUGGAAACGGGUGCUAAAACCCCAUAAGCCUCGCAAGAGGUGAAAGUGUACUUGUUACAGCCUUAGGGUGUGCUCGCGGCCUAUCAGCUAGUUGGUGAGGUAAGGGCUCACCAAGGCUAAGACGGGUAGCCGGCCUGAGAGGGUGUACGGCCACACUGGAAUUGAGAUACGGUCCAGACUCCUACGGGAGGCAGCAGUGGGGAAUUUUGGGCAAUGGGCGAAAGCCUGACCCAGCGACGCCGCGUUGGGGAUGAAGUCCUUCGGGGCGUAAACCCAUGUUGUAGGGGAAGAAGAAAGUGACGGUACCCUACGAGAAAGCCCCGGCCAACUACGUGCCAGCAGCCGCGGUAAAACGUAGGGGGCGAGCGUUGUCCGGAAUUACUGGGCGUAAAGGGCAUGCAGGCGGUGCGCCAAGUCGGGGGUGUAAAGUUACGGCUCAACCGUGACCUUGCAAUCGAAACUGGCGCACUGGAGUGCGGGAGAGGGAAGUGGAAUUCCCGGUGUAGCGG
rnacentral:rRNA from 1 species